rnacentral:rRNA from 1 species
AUGCCGCUGGGAGUCUUCGCGGGAGUGAACCAUCAUCUACAGAGCACCAUAUUUGUUGUUGCCCUCGUGCGAGAUGAAACAAUACCGUCGUUCAAGUGGGUUUUCAAAACAUUUCUGAGGUGUAUGAACAACAAGCCGCCAAUCUGCAUGCUCACAGACCAGUGUUCUUCGAUGAAGGCAGCCUUAAAAACUAUCCUCCUAGAUACACUACAUAAGUUGUGUCGGUGGCAUAUCAUGAAAAAGUACAAAGACCACCUCGCCUUGCUGUAUAAGGCGCACGAGAAACUCAAGGAUGACCUCAAUGCAGUGUUGAAUCACCCAUUAAUGCCCGCCCCUCCUCUCUCUCCCUCGCCCUCGCGCUCACCGUGGCCCUCGCGCCCGUUGGCCGCGCCUAGGCUUGCCCCUGGUCACGCCCGCGACCGCGCUCACCUCGCCCCGCAACCACUAGCCCGCCCUCCGGCUCCCGACGCUCCUCCUGCUCCUGCCACCCCGGCCAUGGCCUCGCCCUCCCCCGUCUCUCCCUCUGUCCCGUGGCCGCGCCACCGCGCCUGCCCCUCCGCGCCACUAUGA